UAACAAGCAAGAAGGCAUUAUAAUGCUGCUAGCAUAAAUUUGUUCGAUGUGCUAAUGGAGACUUGAAUACUCUAGCUUUUUCAUUCUACUAUGUUUUCCAGACGUAAUGUCAAUUGUAUUACUUCCUUAGGGCAUCGAAUAUUAAGCUCUCCCAUUUUGGUGCUUAAGUUGAUUAUGCAAAUCAAUGCAUGUUUACCAUGAAGUUCAAAGGUUUCAAUUUGGGGCUUUAUCAACAUUUAUGGUCUAGUUGUGGUUAGGAUAAAGCUAUGACAACCAUUGAAUUUGAGCAUUUCAAGUUGGAUAUCACUUUAGCUUAUGAUACAAAAUAGAUUGGGACAAACUUUGUUAUGGAAAGAAUGAGCUUUUCAUUUCAGUAAAAGAAACUGUGUGACUGCUUUACUUAAGUUACCUUAUUGUAUAGCUCAUAUGAUUGUAAUCUUCAGAAGAUUCUGUAAUGAGAUGAGAAAGAUUGAAAAAUGCUAAUUACUUGCAUCACUUAUUUAUACAAAAGAUUUUAACUGUCAUUGUGACUGUUAGUAACUGACUACUAACUACUGUAAUGGAAAAUGAAUUACACUUCAACAAUUAUUGCCA
rnacentral:lncRNA from 1 species